rnacentral:rRNA from 1 species
AUACGGAGGGUGCAAGCGUUAUUCGGAAUCACUGGGCGUAAAGGACGCGUAGGCGGAUUGGCAAGUCAGAUGUGAAAUCCUACAGCUUAACUGUAGAACUGCAUUUGAAACUGCUAACCUAGAGUAUGGGAGGGGGAGAUGGAAUUAGUGGUGUAGGGGUAAAAUCCGUAGAUAUCACUAGGAAUACCGAAAGCGAAGGCGAUCUCCUGGAACAUAACUGACGCUAAGGCGUGAAAGCGUGGGGAGCAAACAGGAUUAGAAACCCCAGUAGUCC